ACAAAGAUGGCAGAUAAGUGCAUUAGAUUUAGGAUCUAAAUAUAAAGAUAUAGUGCUUUUUUUUGUA
rnacentral:tRNA from 1 species